rnacentral:rRNA from 1 species
GACGAACCGUGCGAACGUUAUUCGGAAUCACUGGGCUUAAAGCGCGUGUAGGCGGGACGGUGCGUCGGCCGCUGAAAUCCCCCGGCUCAACCGGGGAAGUGGCGCCGAUACGACCGCCCUGGAGCGACGUAGGGGGAACUGGAACUUCCGGUGGAGCGGUGAAAUGCGUUGAGAUCGGAAGGAACGCCCGUGGCGAAAGCGAGUUCCUGGACGUCGGCUGACGCUGAGACGCGAAAGCCAGGGGAGCGAACGGG